UACGAAGGGGGCUAGCGUUGUUCGGAAUUACUGGGCGUAAAGCGCACGUAGGCGGAUAUUUAAGUCAGGGGUGAAAUCCCGGGACUCAACCCCGGAACUGCCUUUGAUACUGGGUAUCUCGAGUCCGAGAGAGGUGAGUGGAAUUCCGAGUGUAGAGGUGAAAUUCGUAGAUAUUCGGAGGAGCACCAGUGGCGAAGGCGGCUCACUGGCUCGGUACUGACGCUGAGGUGCGAAAGCGUGGGGAGCAAACAGG
rnacentral:rRNA from 1 species